rnacentral:rRNA from 1 species
AUUGAACGCUAGCGGGAUGCCUUACACAUGCAAGUCGAACGGAGUGGCGAACGGGUGAGUAAUGUAUCGGAACGUGCCCAGUAGCGGGGGAUAACUACGCGAAAGCGUAGCUAAUACUGCAUACUUUUGGAGUGGGCGCUAUCGGAUUAGCUAGUUGGUGGGGUAACGGCUCACCAAGGCGACCAACCGUAGCUGGUGUGUGAGGACGACCAGCCCCACUGGGACUGAGCCACGGCCCAGACUCCUACGUGAGGCUGCAGUUGGGAAUUUUGGACAAUGGGCGCAACCCUGAGCCAGCCAUCCCGCGUGUGCGAUGAAGGCCUUCGGGUUGUAAAGCACUUUUAGCAGGAAAGCGGUACCUGCAGAAUAAGCACCGGCUAACUACGUGCCAGCAGCCGCGGUAAUAC